rnacentral:miRNA from 1 species
AGAGCAGGGGCUGUGGGCUGCA